rnacentral:rRNA from 1 species
GUAGGUGGCAAGCGUUGUCGGAAUUAUUGGGCGUAAAGCGCGCGCAGGCGGUUCUUUAAGUCUGAUGUGAAAGCCCACGGGCUCAACCGUGGAGGGUCAUUGGAAACUGGAGAACUUGAGUACAGAAGAGGAAAGCGGAAUUCCACGUGUAGCGGUGAAAUGCGUAGAGAUGUGGAGGAACACCAGUGGCGAAGGCGGCUUUCUGGUCUGUAACUGACGCUGAGGCGCGAAAGCGUGGGGAGCAAACAGGAUUAGAUACCCUGGUAGUCCACGCCGUAAACGAUGAGUGCUAAGUGUUAGGGGGUUUCCGCCCCUUAGUGCUGCAGCUAACGCAUUAAGCACUCCGCCUGGGGAGUACGGCCGCAAAGGCUG